GACGAACGCUGGCGGCGUGCCUAAUACAUGCAAGUCGAACGCUUCUUUCCUCCCGAGUGCUUGCACUCAAUUGGAAAGAGGAGUGGCGGACGGGUGAGUAACACGUGGGUAACCUACCCAUCAGAGGGGGAUAACACUUGGAAACAGGUGCUAAUACCGCAUAACAGUUUAUGCCGCAUGGCAUAAGAGUGAAAGGCGCUUUCGGGUGUCGCUGAUGGAUGGACCCGCGGUGCAUUAGCUAGUUGGUGAGGUAACGGCUCACCAAGUCCACGAUGCAUAGCCGACCUGAGAGGGUGAUCGUCCACACUGGAACUGAGACACGGCCCAGAGUCCUACGGGAGGCAGCAGUAGGGAAUAUUCGGCAAUGGACGAAAGUCUGACAGAGCAACGCCGCGUGAGUGAAGAAGGUGUUCGGAUCGUAAAACUCUGUUGUUAGAGAAGAACAAGGACGUUAGUAACUGAACGUAGCCUGACGGUAUCUAACCAGAAAGCCACGGCUAACUACGUG
rnacentral:rRNA from 1 species